rnacentral:lncRNA from 1 species
CCGACUGGAGAUUUCCCUCUAGGUUGCUCGGAUCCAGGGAAGCUAUACUAAUCAAGAAAACGACGACGCUUUAGUGGAAUACUCGUCGGCUUCGUUUUCUUCAUCGACUCCAUUUGCGUGUACUUUCUCUGUGGAAUCAUACGCCCUCUCUUAUUCAUCUUACUCAUACAAAUCAAUCAAUCGUUCAGCGAGUAAUUGUUGUUGCUGUUCUUCCUCGUGUGAAGCAUAUUUUCCUUAAAGAAAAAGGAAAAUCAAGAAGUGAAGAAGGAAAAAGAGUGGUUGAUUUGGGUGGUGA